rnacentral:misc_RNA from 1 species
AACCAAGGAAGACGAUAUAACUGAAAUAGUCACUAUUUUUCCUUUUUCCUCUACUCUUCUUGUGUAGUACCAGUUGACUAUAACAGUUGAGUAUAACGUGAGUUCUAUUUAAAUUCAAGCGGCAUCCAUUUGGAUUCUUUGAAAGAUACCUUAGUUAAUCAUUAAGGUGAUUAAUUAACCAUGCCAAACCCCUGUGUGGUACCUGGUUGUGUUGUUGGUCAACCGAGGAAGAAAAUCCCCUCUCACGUUUCAACCCACCGGCUCCCUGCCAAUCCCAUUCGAAGACAAAAGUGGAUUCAUGCCAUAAAAAAAAGUUCGAAGCAAUUAUGAUUAUCAAGAAGGUUAAAAAAGUUAUAGUUGUUUGCUCACUUCAUUUUCGCCCCGAUGAUUUCACUUAUGAGUCAAAGGAUAGGAAUCCUAGUAGAAAGAAAAAGAAAGUCCCCGAUGGGAAAGUGAAGAAACCUCGCUUAAAAGAAGAUGCUGUUCCUUGCAUUUACCCAAACUUACCCAGUUAUACAUCCAUUCCUUCAACAUCAAGAAGAUCAUCUACGGCCACUUCAGCUUCUCGCUUUGAGAAAGAGAUAGAAAGGAUAGAUUCAGCGUCUAUAGCUUUUUUUGAAGCUGAAAAAAUCCCUCCAUUUGAAACUGUCAGCUCCUUAUUGAAAGAAGGGAACAUUUCUCUACCCAGCGGAUUUCAAGUUCUUCAAAUCAAACCCAAAACUAUAGAUAUUUUCCAAUUUCGUGAGGGUGAAAAUGGACUCCCUAUGGUAGAAAGAGGAAUAAUUAUAAAAGAAAAUCUGAGCUUCAAAGCUUUUCUUCAAGGUUGCAUUGUACCUACUCAUCGUCUUAAUCACUUAGUUAAGAAAGGAGGAAUACUUACAGAGACUUCGCAAAUUCCAAACAUUUUGUCUCUUUUGAAAAGCAUUGAACUAGAAAAAGAAGAACUUCUUAUUAAAGAUGCAUUGAAUAACUUAGAAGAAAAAUUCAAAGUGGCGGUUCUUUCUGAUGAGAAAAAGAUGAAGUUGGAAUUUGCGAUGGAACAAUGCAAUUUGGCUCUCGGAGCCAGAAAAUAUUCACCAGGGUUAUUAGGUUUAUCGACAGUUCAAUAAUAUUCAAGCUACCACUGAAGAAGAAGCUGAGAAAAACAGUUUAAUUGAGUUGAUUAAUAGAGAAGGACUUAUUACCACUUCGAAUUUGUUCUUCUUGUCAUUUUGCUACAUAAACAACUUCCUAAGUAGUAUUUUGAAAAGCCCAGAUUUAGUCAAAAAGUUGUUCAACGCUUCAUCUGCUACUAAUACUUUCAAUUGUGGAGUUAUCCAAAGAAUUAAUGGCGAUGAAAGUGCAUUCCCACUUCUAGAUAAAAUAUGUGAAUCUGGUCACAAGAACCAGGAUUUAUUGAGCAAGAUUUCAGGCAAAGUUUUUUGUUUUUGGUACUGCACUUGAACAGAUUUGAACGAGAUAAAAGUUGUCUUAAUAAUAGAAUUCACCAAUUUUUAAAGAAGACGUUAUCACAAAAAUCAAGGAUAUUAAGAAAAAGCUUGAUAAAUCAUUCUUUCUGGAAGGCAAUGCACCUUUUAUUUUUUUCUACCUAAAGACGAUCUUGUUCCUACAAUUUUACAUUAGACUUUAAUUUAUAUUUAGUGUAAAGUUGAAAUAAAUUUUUAUUAAAUA